rnacentral:misc_RNA from 1 species
UUUCCGUAGGUGAACCUGCGGAAGGAUCAUUAUUGUAUAACCGAGGUGCGAGGGCUGUCGCUGACCCGACAGGUCGUGCACGCCCGAGUGCCCUCACACACAUCCAUCUCACCCCUAUGUGCACCACCGCGUGGGUCCCCCUUUGGCUUGUUCGGAGGGGGGCUUACGCUUUCACACAAACUUUGUAUGCAGUGUAGAAUGUAUUUUUUGUUUUUGCGAUCACGCAAUCAAUACAACUUUCAACAACGGAUCUCUUGGCUCUC